rnacentral:ncRNA from 1 species
CCGUUGGCUGAUUUGAGUAGUCAGCUGAUAGUUUCUCCUCUAUUUCUCCUUUGUAGACUUGGCACACAAUCGCAAGAUUGUGUGCAUUUUU